GGAGGAGAGGGGCCCUACGUGUCCACCGCGAGGGUCCCCUGACUGUCCUUAUGCAAAAGCCCGGGUUCAUGAUAUUCACAGGUCUUGUCAUAUGAGGCGCGGAUGAAAAUGAGGGGAUAUCAAGGAGAUGGAUGGAACAGGCCUCUCCACCUCCAGAGCGCCGCGGCUGUUGUAGGAGCGGAGGAACUGGCUGACAUUAGACUGGUUCAUGGUCGUUGAGAUGUAGUGACGGACACUCACUGUGAUUUGGGGCGCAAAGACAGAGUCACACUCGUUGUCCUCCAGGACCAUGGCUGCUGAUGCAGAGUAGAUCGCAACACUAAUGAAGAAGAUGCAGAGCGGAUGUCCUGCUUG